GACAGAGGGUGCAAACGUUGUUCGGAAUUACUGGGCGUAAAGCGCGUGUAGGCGGCCCUGCAAGUCGGGUGUGAAAUCCCACGGCUCACCGUGGAAGUGCACUCGAAACUGCAGGGCUAGAGUCCUGGAGAGGAAGGUGGAAUGCUUGGUGUAGAGGUGAAAUUCGUAGAUAUCAAGCGGAACACCGGUGGCGAAGGCGGC
rnacentral:rRNA from 1 species